UGCUCUACCUGAGAACAAAUACCGUAAAACACCGCUCAUUCGACAGUGAUUGGUGUCGAGUGAACGGGGUAACGUUUUAACUUUAAUUCGACGAACUGGCUACCCUACACUUAUUCGUUUAAAACGUGUUUUGCAGCGUGCAUGCGAUGCCACCAUGCCUAGGAAAGUCCACCCUACCGGAGCAGGAGAAAUUGGAUCAAUAAUUGCACAGUCCCUUAGUGUAGGUAAGGCGCCAGGACCGGAUGGCAUUUCGAACCUGGCCAUCAAAGCGGCCAUUGCUGCGGCUCCCGAGAUGUUCAGAUCUGUCAUGCAGAGAUGCCUGGACGAGGGAGUCUUCCCUGAAGCAUGGAAAAGGCAGAGCUUGGUCCUAUUGCCAAAGGCGGGAAAACCACCGGGGGAUCCGUCGACAUAUAGACCAAUAUGCCUGCUUGAAACGACGGGGAAGGUGCUCGAGAAGAUCAUCCUCAACAGGUUGUUGAUACGCACGGAGGGUGCAGAUGGUCUAUCGAGUAACCAGUUUGGUUUCCGAAAGGGUAAGUCGACCGUAGACGCUAUCUUGCCGGUUACCAAAUCCGCGGAGAUAGCUAUCCACCGUAAGAGGAGGGGAGUUCGCUAUUGUGCAGUAGUGACUCUCGACGUGAGAAAAUGCAUUCAAUAGUGCCAGUUGGGCAGCUAUUGCAGAUGCGCUCCUGCGUCUUGGAAUUCCUGAGUACCUGUACAAGAUUCUCGGAAGCUACUUCCAGAAUCGAGUACUGGUAUACGACACGGAGGCGGGGCGGAAGUGCGUUGACAUAACCUCAGGGGUUCCGCAAGGUUCCAUACUGGGUCCGGUGUUAUGGAACGUCAUGUACGACGGUGUCUUGAGGUUGAAGUUUCCGGUAGGCGUGGUAAUCUUCGGCUUCGCUGACGAUAUUACGCUGGAGGUCUACGGUGAAUCGAUCGAAAAAAUGUAACCGAUGGUUUCAAUGAAAUAGCAUUGGCUUCACCAAAUGCACAAUAAUGGGCUAAUUCCUUUAUACGCACCUGGCUUCUGGUGAGCAAGUGCUGCCAUCUAGUUUUGAGAACAGAUAGUUCAUUUUCGAAGCAAUCUUUAAGGUCAACAGUACCAGAGAAUUUUCUUAAGGUGAUUCGCCAUAGUUAUGAGAUUGGUCUAAAGAGGGCUUGUCAGAUUAAAAAUCAGGGAUCCGAUGCCUUCAAGCGAUACUGAAAUAGCUGAUUCGUUCUUUCUGGCUCAAUAUUUCAAGCAAGUUGGAAGUGCGCGGCGCGUUAAAAUUCGAGUGUUAGUGAUUUUACUAUUCUAAUAUGUUGGAAACUUAAGUAAUUCUUUUUCUUAUCUUUUAGUGUUAAUAGUUGGUCCUUAAAAGUUAGAGGAUAAUAAAUAAUAAAAGUCAAGUGUUAGUAAAAGUUAAUAGAAGGGUGCUGUGUGGCAGGUGAACGGAAUAGAUUCCACGUGGAUCGUGGAACAAAUUUGUGGAAAAAAGGCCUAGUGGGCCUUUUUUCCGUUCUUUAAGCUAAACCGGAGGCUCUUCGAACGUCAGGUUUUCCAACUUCCGAUAGCCCAAUUCGGGUGUAUCGUAUAUCCCUGAGCCAGAAACCUGCCCUGUGAUUUCUCCGUUGGAGUUACCAGUGUCUGAUCGCCGCCAUUGUGAACCCCAUUGUCCAAGUACCGACAUCGUUGGACCCAUUAUUCGAUCGUCGACUUUGUGGACACCAUCGUCUGAGCACCGGUAUCGUCGAACCCAUCACACGAUCGCCAUUGUUGAAUCAUCCAUUGGCUCGUCGCUGACCGGACGUCUUCCGGACAUUACAGGAACCGUAACUGAUUCACCAACCCGCAAACCGCUGACGAGCGAGUACAAUUACCAUCCCGUUCCAUGCAGUGGUUCCCCAUCAUCGUGAGUCAGCCCACACCCCAUCAACAACUGUAAGUCGCGCUGGUUUUGUUUUUGAUAAAUAGCAUGCUAAAUAGGUCAGAAGAGGUCGUAGAGAAAGUAGGUUAGGAGUCGUGAUCACGGAACUAGCAAUCAAAUUAGGCACUAAAAGGUGAAUAAAUUCUAUAUGUGUACAACAUUGUUUGCUAAAGUUUCCUUCAUUUUGUUGCAUAUCAUCCUCGUUUCGGUGUAAAUUCCCGGAAAAAGGUAGAAUUUCCCAACCCUCACUUGCUGAAAUAUUUCCGAGGUUCGAAAAGGUGAAGUUGGUAAUGCUAAUUGGUUUCACCCCUGGUGGAUGAACCUCUUUCGUCAUUCAUUCAUGAUUAUGCUGUUUGUUUUGCUGGAAAGUUCUCUCUAACUGAUCGAGUAAAUCGCAUGAAACGACCCUGGGGGUUUCUUAACUCACGUUUGGAGCUAAGGAACCGUACA